rnacentral:rRNA from 1 species
CCUACGGGGGGCUGCAGUGGGGAAUAUUGGACAAUGGGGGCAACCCUGAUCCAGCCAUGCCGCGUGUGUGAAGAAGGCCCUCGGGUUGUAAAGCACUUUCAGUGAGGAAGAACGCCUGGUGGUUAAUACCCAUCAGGAAAGACAUCACUCACAGAAGAAGCACCGGCUAACUCCGUGCCAGCAGCCGCGGUAAUACGGAGGGUGCGAGCGUUAAUCGGAAUUACUGGGCGUAAAGCGCGCGUAGGUGGCUUGAUAAGCCGGUUGUGAAAGCCCCGGGCUCAACCUGGGAACGGCAUCCGGAACUGUCAAGCUAGAGUGCAGGAGAGGAAGGUGGAAUUCCCGGUGUAGCGGUGAAAUGCGUAGAGAUCGGGAGGAAUACCAGUGGCGAAGGCGGCCUUCUGGACUGACACUGACACUGAGGUGCGAAAGCGUGGGUAGCAAACAGGAUUAGAUACCCCGGUAGUC